AGGUGUGGGGUGAAGGUCACUAGGUGUGGGGUGAAGGUCGCUAGGUGUGGGGGUGAAGGUCGCUAGGUGUUGGGUGAAGGUCGCUAGGUGUUGGGUGAAGGUCGCUAGGUGUUGGGUGAAGGUCGCUAGGUGUUGGGUGAAGGUCGCUAGGUGUUGGGUGAAGGUCGCUAGGUGUUGGGUGUAGGUCGCUAGGUGUUGGGUGAAAGUCGCUAGGUGUGGGGUGAAGGUCGCUAGGUGUUGGGUGAAGGUCGCUAGGUGUUGGGUGAAGGUCGCUAGGUGUUGGGUGAAGGUCGCUACAAAAGAUAAUAUUAUAAUAUCAUGAAUAAAGUGGUAGAGGUCCUUAGGUACAGAUCUAGGAUCAGAAUACAGUAAUGUACUGUACAGUUCUGCCAUGGUAGAGGUCCUUAGGCACAGAUCUAAGGUUCAUCAAAUUAUUAUUUUUUUUAAAUUUUAAAUUAGUGAUUUAUAUUUAUUUAUAGCCAUUGAUUCUUGAAGAUUAUGACUUAUAACUGCCUAAUAAGUUAAGUUGAACUGUUCAAGUUCAACAUCACAACCCGAAAUAUAAACUUGUGUUAAUCCAUUGUUUGUAAACAAUGUCACAUGGUUAAAAAACAUCAUUUUGAGCUCACGGAUGUUCUUGCAUCCACAGCUCAGUCUAUUGUUUGAAAGUGGUCACAUCCCUCAGCUGAUAACCAAAACAAGUGGUGGGUGGGUGGGGGGGGGCCUUUAAGGUUCCACCCUACUACUUGGUCUAAGCGAAAUCAUCCAGAUACUCAGCUGUCUUCAAGAAAUUGUCAAAACAAUGUCUGCAAUCAAUAUUUAUUUUUAAUUCUAUUAUUUUGCACUUUCACUUCAACAAUCGGUUUGGUUUAGUUUAUUUUUUUUAAUGAAUGUGUAUUAUAUGAAAAAUUAUUCAAAGCGACUGUGAAUUUCUUUAGAAUGUAUAAUUUUUAUGUUAUUCUAUGAGCAGAGUUCUGAAUGUAAGCACUUAUUGUUGUACUUGACUGCGGGAGUCUGUAUGGCUGGGGGGGGGGGUCUGUGUGGGGUCUGUGUGGGUGGGGAUCUGUGUGGGUGUGUCAGUGGGUGGGUGCGCUUUUGGUAUAUCUGUAAUGUUAUCUACAAUUAAAUUCUUGUUACAAAGAA